AGCUAGUUGGUGGGGUAAAAGCUCACCAAGGCGACGAUCAGUAGCGGGUCUGAGAGGAUGAUCCGCCACACUGGAACUGAGACACGGUCCAGACUCCUACGGGAGGCAGCAGUGGGGAAUUUUGGACAAUGGGGGCAACCCUGAUCCAGCCAUGCCGCGUGAGUGAAGAAGGCCUUCGGGUUGUAAAGCUCUUUCGGCCGGGAAGAAAUCGUAUCAGCUAAUACCUGGUGCGGAUGACGGUACCGGCAUAAGAAGCACCGGCUAACUACGUGCCAGCAGCCGCGGUAAUACGUAGGGUGCGAGCGUUAAUCGGAAUUACUGGGCGUAAAGCGUGCGCAGGCGGUUUUGUAAGACAGGCGUGAAAUCCCCGGGCUCAACCUGGGAACUGCGUUUGUGACUGCAAGGCUAGAGUACGGCAGAGGGGGGUGGAAUUCCACGUGUAGCAGUGAAAUGCGUAGAGAUGUGGAGGAACACCAAUGGCGAAGGCAGCCCCCUGGGUCGAUACUGACGCUCAUGCACGAAAGCGUGGGUAGCAAACAGGAUUAGAUACCCUGGUAGUCCACGCCCUAAACGAUGUCAACUAGGUGUUGGGAGGGUAAAACCUUUUAGUACCGGAGCUAACGCGUGAAGUUGACCGCCUGGGGAGUACGGCCGCAAGGUUAAAACUCAAAGGAAUUGACGGGGACCCGCACAAGCGGUGGAUGAUGUGGUUUAAUUCGAUGCAACGCGAAAAACCUUACCUACCCUUGACAUGUCAGGAACUUUCCAGAGAUGGAUUGGUGCUCGAAAGAGAACCUGAACACAGGUGCUGCAUGGCUGUCGUCAGCUCGUGUCGUGAGAUGUUGGGUUAAGUCCCGCAACGAGCGCAACCCUUGUCGUUAAUUGCCAUCAUUAAGUUGGGCACUUUAGCGAGACUGCCGGUGACAAACCGGAGGAAGGCGGGGAUGACGUCAAGUCCUCAUGGCCCUUAUGGGUAGGGCUUCACACGUCAUACAAUGGUCGGUACAAAGGGUCGCCAACCCGCGAGGGGGAGCUAAUCCCAGAAAGCCGAUCGUAGUCCGGAUUGCAGGCUGCAACUCGCCUGCAUGAAGUCGGAAUCGCUAGUAAUCGUGGAUCAGCAUGUCACGGUGAAUACGUUCCCGGGUCUUGUACACACCGCCCGUCACACCAUGGGAGCGGGUUCCGCCAGAAGUAGGUAGCCUAACCGCAAGGAGGGCGCUUACCACGGCGGGGUUCGUGACUGGGGUGAAGUCGUAACAAGGUAGCCGUAGGGGAACCUGCGGCUG
rnacentral:rRNA from 1 species